GGCGUUGGAUGUGUCUGAGAAGGCCAUCAAGAAAGCAAGAGCAGCCCUGAAGGAGGCUCAAAACAACCUCGACAGUAGCAGAAAUGCCCCAACCAAGGUGGAUGAGAGGCUGAAGCAGCUGGAGGAGAAGCAGAUGGACGUUGUGAUGCGUUUAACCAACCUCUCCAUGGGGGUGGAAGCUCUGAGGAACAAGACGGAGAUGAACAGACAAAUGGCAAAGGACGCCAAAGCUCAGGCUGAUAACGCCACACGUGCAGCAACCUCACUGCAGCAGAGCCUGAACGACACAGAGAAGAGGUAUCAGGAGCUGCAGAUGAAGAUGGACUCUCUUGGCGGAGAGUCUGGAGGUCUGAUCAGUAUCAACCAGAGAGCCAAGGAUAUCAAGAAGGAGGCAGUGGACCUUCUAAACAAAGCCAUCAAGGGGAUAGAGCAACUCAAGAGUGAGUACAUGAGGCUGCUCUCAGUGUUUACAUUCAUCAUGUACUGUCUGUUGGGUCAUUCCUCCUGUAGAAGAAAUCUGUGGGGCAAACUUAAUAAAAUAGUAAACUAAACCUCUGGACAAAAUUAGUGCAACACAGCAUGUGGGAAAGUAACUGUUCAGACUCUUGCUUUCAUGAUUGUGGGAGUCUGAAAUUGUAAUUGAAAUGUUAUUCAUCACCCUGCACUUAUUAUGCAAAUCAAGCUGAUGGAUAUAGGUACAAAAUAAUAUGAGCACUUUAUGUCAACAUAAGCUGUUGUAUAUAAAACUAGGGAAUGCAGUCUGUGAAGAAAAUGAGCUGUUAACGCCGCAUGCAAAAUAAACAGACACUGUUGAUGCUUGUGUCUAAAUCAGUUUAAAAAUGUUGUCCAUGAAAGAUGGUGAAUGCUAAACAGCUAAUGCUUGUUGCAUUACUAUUCGGAAAAUUCAGUGUCAUUAAAAUUAAUGUAAAAUACCUUAAAGGACUAAUAUUUUUGAUCAGCUUUUAAAGGUCACUGUAAAAAUAAAAUAUGAAUAUGAAAAUUUUGAGUCAUACUGAAAAGGCAGGCGAUUGUGAUGGAAAUAUUUCAAAGGUUUAGUGGAAUUUCCAAGUGGAUGCUUGAAUGAAGUUGAAAAGUAGAGAUUCUGAAAUGUAUUCAUUAAUUUCAGUGGUUAAAAAUUCAGCCGGUAGAUCAUAUAUCUCUGAAACUAUUAACGGCAUGAACAGGAAAAGUCAUGGAAAUU